rnacentral:rRNA from 1 species
GAUGAACGCUGGCGGCGUGCCUAAUACAUGCAAGUCGAGCGAACAGACGAGGAGCUUGCUCCUCUGACGUUAGCGGCGGACGGGUGAGUAACACGUGGAUAACCUACCUAUAAGACUGGGAUAACUUCGGGAAACCGGAGCUAAUACCGGAUAAUAUAUUGAACCGCAUGGUUCAAUAGUGAAAGACGGUUUUGCUGUCACUUAUAGAUGGAUCCGCGCCGCAUUAGCUAGUUGGUAAGGUAACGGCUUACCAAGGCAACGAUGCGUAGCCGACCUGAGAGGGUGAUCGGCCACACUGGAACUGAGACACGGUCCAGACUCCUACGGGAGGCAGCAGUAGGGAAUCCUCCGCAAUGGGCGAAAGCAUGACGGAGCAACGCCGCGUGAGUGAUGAAGGUCUUCGGAUCGUAAAACUCUGUUAUUAGGGAAGAACAAAUGUGUAAGUAACUAUGCACGUCUUGACGGUACCUAAUCAGAAAGCCACGGCUAACUACGUG